AUUGAACGCUGGCGGUAUGCUUAACACAUGCAAGUCGAACGAUGAGAAAGAGCCUGCUCUUUCGAUUAGUGGCGGACGGGUGCGUAACGCGUAGGAAUCUACCUAUUAGUGGGGGACAACUUAGGGAAACUUAAGCUAAUACCGCAUACGCCCUACGGGGGAAAGAAGGGGAUCGCAAGACCUUUUGCUAAUAGAUGAGCCUGCGUAGGAUUAGCUAGUUGGUGGGGUAAAAGCGCACCAAGGCUACGAUCCUUAACUGGUUUGAGAGAAUGAUCAGUCACACUGGAACCGAGACACGGUCCACACUCAUUCGAGAGGUAACAUUGGGGAAUAUUGAAAAAUGGGCGAAAGCCUGUUUCAGCAAUACAGCGUGUGUUAACUAGGCCUUAGGUUUGUAAGGCACGUUCAAUUGGAAGGAAAACCUCGAAGCUAAUACCUUCGAGUUUGACAUUACCUUUAGAAGAAGCACCGGUUAACUCCGUGCCAGCCGCCGCGGUAA
rnacentral:rRNA from 1 species